GUGAGGAAUUUUCCGCAAUGGGCGAAAGCCUGACGGAGCAAUGCCGCGUGAAGGAUGAAGGCCUAUGGGUUGUAAACUUCUUUUCUCAGAAAAGAAUUAUGACGGUAUCUGAGGAAUAAGCAUCGGCUAACUCUGUGCCAGCAGCCGCGGUAAGACAGAGGAUGCAAGCGUUAUCCGGAAUGAUUGGGCGUAAAGCGUCUGUAGGUUGUUUAAAAAGUAUUCUGUCAAAGAUUAGGGCUUAACCCUAGAUAGGCAGAAUAAACUUUUAAGCUAGAGUUUGGUAGAGGCAGAGGGAAUACCCGGUGGAGCAGUGAAAUGCGUAGAUAUCGUGAGGAACACCAAAGGCGAAGGCACUCUGCUGGGCCAAUACUAACACUGAGAGACGAAAGCGAGGGGAGCAAAUGGGAUUAGAAACCCGUGUAGUCC
rnacentral:rRNA from 1 species